UACGGAGGGAGCUAGCGUUGUUCGGAAUUACUGGGCGUAAAGCGCACGUAGGCGGCUUUGUAAGUUAGAGGUGAAAGCCUGGAGCUCAACUCCAGAACUGCCUUUAAGACUGCAUCGCUUGAAUCCAGGAGAGGUGAGUGGAAUUCCGAGUGUAGAGGUGAAAUUCGUAGAUAUUCGGAAGAACACCAGUGGCGAAGGCGGCUCACGGGACUGGUAUUGACGCUGAGGUGCGAAAGCGUGGGGAGCAAACAGG
rnacentral:rRNA from 1 species